CAGGCACUGGACUCAGGAUCCUGUGGCUUUGAGCAAAACCCCGAACACUUCCUGAACCUCAGAGACCAGCACUCCCAGCGUGUGAAGAGAUGCUGAGAAAAUACAACUUUGGCAAUUAAGGAUUAUUUUGAAUAUACUGAAGAAGUGAUUGGUAUCAUCACAGAGGAAACAGGAAAGGCAGAGACAUACAUAAAGUUUUUGCAAGACAACCGGGUGCAGAGACUGAGUUUUUUGCUACUGCUGUGACUGCUUCAGAAUUCACUUUGACUAAGCUUGACUCCAAUUUCUGAAUCUACCCCACGUGCUUUAGUCUGGAAUCCAACUUGCAGAACCUGCAAUUACCCCAGAAUGUCUUUAAAGGACAAUGUCCAAAUUGAUGUCUUCAACUCUACAGAUUUCCACCAGGCUCAGGAUAAUAUGUCCAACUGUGUAUUUGAAAUUGCAACACUGUUCCUGAAAUUGGAAUCAUCAUGGAGUCAGCUACCUUUCUCUCAGAUGAAUUCUUGCAGAUUUGACUUCUAAAAUAUUUUUUCUUAUCAACUUGUUUCCACUACUCCCAUUCUG